CGACGUCAUACGAUUGAAAACUUUCAGACUGGAGAUUAUUUCUUUACUUGUACGCUUCAAAUUCGGAUAGUAUCUAAUUAAAAUGAAGUUUUUAAGGUGAAUAAACUUAUAUUUAAGCACUUCUUCAAAAGUUUAGAUGAAUCUUAUAAAGGAUUUCAAUCAAACGAUCCUGUUAGCAUUGGAUGGAACCUUUUUAUGCAGCAGGAAACUUGAUUUUAAAGGAAGUUCAACUGUUGCGGAAUUCAUGGAUACACAGAUUUCAAGUUGUCGAAUUCUUUUGAUGAGAAAUGGGGACAA